GGAGGAAAGCAGGGGAUCGCAAGACCUUGCGCUUUUGGAGUGGCCGAUGCCUGAUUAGCUAGUUGGUAGGGUAAUGGCUUACCAAGGCGACGAUCAGUAGUUGGUCUGAGAGGACGACCAGCCACACUGGGACUGAGACACGGCCCAGACUCCUACGGGAGGCAGCAGUGGGGAAUUUUGGACAAUGGGCGAAAGCCUGAUCCAGCAAUGCCGCGUGAGUGAAGAAGGCCUUCGGGUUGUAAAGCUCUUUCAGUCGAGAAGAAAAGGUUGUGACUAAUAAUCACAACUCAUGACGGUAUCGACAGAAGAAGCACCGGCUAACUACGUGCCAGCAGCCGCGGUAAUACGUAGGGUGCGAGCGUUAAUCGGAAUUACUGGGCGUAAAGGGUGCGCAGGCGGCUUUGUAAGUCAGAUGUGAAAUCCCCGGGCUUAACCUGGGAAUUGCGUUUGAAACUACAAGGCUAGA
rnacentral:rRNA from 1 species